GGUCCCGCCUGCCCAGUGAUAAUUUUAACGGCCGCGGUAUUCUAACCGUGCAAAGGUAGCGUAAUCACUUGUCUUCUAAAUAAAGACUAGUAUGAAUGGCUAAAUGAGGACAAACCUGUCUCUUAUAGCUGAUCCGUGAAACUAAUCUUCCAGUACAAAAGCUGGAAUACCAACAUAAGACGAGAAGACCCUGUGGAGCUUUAAACCAAUCACUAACCCUAAACCUAGUGUACGGUUUUAAGUUGGGGCGACUUUGGAAUAAAACAAAACUUCCAAGAACAGAACCACAGAUUCCAAUCAAGGCUGACAAGCCGAAACGAAUGACCCAGUAAUACUGAUCAACGAACCAAGUUACCCCAGGGAUAACAGCGCUAUCUUCUUCAAGAGUCCCUAUCGACAAGAAGGUUUACGACCUCGAUGUUGGAUCAGGACACCCAAAUGGUGCAGCCGCUAUUAAAGGUUCGUUUGUUCAACGAUU
rnacentral:rRNA from 1 species